CAGUGUGAAAGGAAGCAUGCACAACCGCAGUGAAUGCCCUAGAGUGAAGCCCCCACUUUGAAGAUAUUUUAUAUCAAAUGGGGUUUUUUAGACCGGUCUUCAGUCAAGGGUAUACGAGUAGCUGCGCUCCCCUGCUAGAACCUCCAAACAAGCUCUCAAAUGGGAUUUUUUUAAGAUAGAAAUUUUAACAAUUUCCUUACUAU
rnacentral:snRNA from 1 species